rnacentral:rRNA from 1 species
UACAGAGACUGCAAGCGUUAUUCGGAUUCACUGGGCGUAAAGGGUGCUCAGGCGGCCGUGUGUGUGAGGCGUGAAAGCCUGGAGCUUAACUCCAGAAUUGCACCUCAAACUACACGGCUAGAGCAUUGGAGAGGGUAGCAGAAUUCACGGUGUAGCAGUGAAAUGCGUAGAUAUCGUGAGGAAUACCAGAGGCGAAGGCGGCUACCUGGACAAUUGCUGACGCUCAGGCACGAAAGCGUGGGGAGCAAAAGGG